GGGGGCGACUGGUUUCGACGGGUUUGGUGAAGGUUCAGUUGCGUGCCCAGGUUCCCGGUGUCCUGGUAAAACCCGCUGGGAAACUUCAUAACUGCCAAUACUGACUUGGCCCUGGCUGCGUAAGCUUCGGCUUACCGCACCUGCUCUCGUGGCAGCCGCGCUUGAGGCGGCGCGGGAGUAUCGGAAAAUCAAGCUGGCGUGACGUGGCGCUUCCGCACGUACCGCGAGAUGUAAGGGAGCUCGUCCGGCAAUUGGGUGGCUGUGCCCCUGUUGUCGGAGACCACAAGCGCAGCCUACGCACGUAGAGACCGGGCUGGAUCGAUGCUCGGACCGGGGUUCGAAUCCCCGCGCCUCCAUUU
rnacentral:tmRNA from 1 species